rnacentral:rRNA from 1 species
UACGAGUGGCCCGAGCGUUAAUCGGAAUCACUGGGCUUAAAGCGUCCGCAGGCGGACGCGCAAGUAUCUUGUGAAAUCCCACGGCUCAACCGUGGAACUGCAGGGUAAACUGCGUGUCUUGAGGUAGGUAGGGGUCAUCAGAACGUACGGUGGAGCGGUGAAAUGCAUAGAUAUCGUACGGAAUGCCAAAGGUGAAGACAGGUGACUGGGCCUAUUCUGACGCUCAUGGACGAAAGCGUGGGGAUCAAAC